rnacentral:rRNA from 1 species
AACGAACGCUGGCGGCAGGCCUAACACAUGCAAGUCGAGCGAGACCUUCGGGUCUAGCGGCGGACGGGUGAGUAACGCGUGGGAACGUACCCUUUUCUGCAGGAUAGCCACUGGAAACGGUGAGUAAUACUGCAUACGCCCUUCGGGGGAAAGAUUUAUCGGAGAAGGAUCGGCCCGCGUUAGAUUAGGUAGUUGGUGGGGUAAUGGCCUACCAAGCCUACGAUCUAUAGCUGGUUUGAGAGGAUGAUCAGCCACACUGGGACUGAGACACGGCCCAGACUCCUACGGGAGGCAGCAGUGGGGAAUCUUAGACAAUGGGGCAACCCUGAUCUAGCCAUGCCGCGUGAGUGAUGAAGGCCUUAGGGUCGUAAAGCUCUUUCGCCAGGGAAGAUAAUGACAGUACCUAGUAAAGAACCCCGGCUAACUCCGUGCCAGCGCCGCGGUAA